rnacentral:rRNA from 1 species
UACAGAGGGUGCGAGCGUUAAUCGGAAUUAUUGGGCGUAAAGGGCUCGUAGGCGGUCUGUCGCGUCGGGAGUGAAAACUCAGGGCUUAACCCUGAGCCUGCUUCCGAUACGGGCAGACUAGAGGUAUGCAGGGGAGAACGGAAUUCCUGGUGUAGCGGUGGAAUGCGCAGAUAUCAGGAGGAACACCAAUAGCGAAGGCAGCUCGCUGGGACGUUACUGACACUGAGGCGCGAAAGCGUGGGGAGCGAACAGG